AACGAACGCUGGCGGCAUGCCUAACACAUGCAAGUCGAACGAGACCUUCGGGUCUAGUGGCGCACGGGUGCGUAACGCGUGGGAACCUGCCCUUAGGUUCGGAAUAACUCCCCGAAAGGGGUGCUAAUACCGGAUAAUGUCUUCGGACCAAAGAUUUAUCGCCUUUGGAUGGGCCCGCGUUGGAUUAGCUAGUUGGUAGGGUAAAAGCCUACCAAGGCGACGAUCCAUAGCUGGUCUGAGAGGAUGAUCAGCCACACUGGGACUGAGACACGGCCCAGACUCCUACGGGAGGCAGCAGUGGGGAAUAUUGGACAAUGGGCGAAAGCCUGAUCCAGCAAUGCCGCGUGAGUGAUGAAGGCCUUAGGGUUGUAAAGCUCUUUUACCCGGGAUGAUAAUGACAGUACCGGGAGAGUAAGCGCCGGCUAACUCCGUG
rnacentral:rRNA from 1 species